rnacentral:rRNA from 1 species
GGGUUGUGAGGUUAAGCGAAUAAGCGUACACGGUGGAUGCCUAGGCAAUCAGAGGCGAUGAAGGACGUGCUAAUCUGCGAAAAGCGUCGGUAAGGUGAUAUGAACCGUUAUACCCGACGAUAUCCGAAUGGGGAAACCCAGUAUCCAAUGGAUACUAUCAUUAACUGAAUCCAUAGGUUAAUGAGGCGAACCGGGAGAACUGAAACAUCUCAGUACCCCGAGGAAAAGAAAUCAACCGAGAUUCCCCUAGUAGCGGCGAGCGAACGGGGAGCAGCCCAGAGUCUUAAUCAAUAACAGUGUCAGGAGAACGGUCUGGAAAGUCCGGCAGUAAAGGGUGAUAGCCCCGUAUCUGAAGAUGCUGUUAUUGUGAACUCGACGAGUAGGGCGGGACACGUGUUAUCCUGUCUGAAUAUGGGGGGACCAUCCUCCAAGGCUAAAUACUCCUGAUUGACCGAUAGUGAACCAGUACCGUGAGGGAAAGGCGAAAAGAACCCCGGCGAGGGGAGUGAAAAAGAACCUGAAACCGUGUACGUACAAGCAGUAGGAGCCUCUUUAUGGGGUGACUGCGUACCUUUUGUAUAAUGGGUCAGCGACUUAUAUUCUGUAGCGAGGUUAACCGUAUAGGGGAGCCGUAGGGAAACCGAGUCUUAACUGGGCGAAUGAGUUGCAGGGUAUAGACCCGAAACCCGGUGAUCUAUCCAUGGGCAGGUUGAAGGUUGGGUAACACUAACUGGAGGACCGAACCGACUAAUGUUGAAAAAUUAGCGGAUGACUUGUGGAUGGGGGUGAAAGGCCAAUCAAACCGGGAGAUAGCUGGUUCUCCCCGAAAGCUAUUUAGGUAGCGCCUCGUGAACUCAUCUUCGGGGGUAGAGCACUGUUUCGACUAGGGGGUCAUCCCGACUUACCAACUCGAUGCAAACUGCGAAUACCGAAGAAUGUUAUCACGGGAGACACACGGCGGGUGCUAACGUCCAUCGUGAAGAGGGAAACAACCCAGACCGCCAGCUAAGGUCCCAAAGUCAUGGUUAAGUGGGAAACGAAGUGGGAAGGCUCAGACAGCCAGGAUGUUGGCUUAGAAGCAGCCAUCAUUUAAAGAAAGCGUAAUAGCUCACUGGUCGAGUCGGCCCGCGCGGAAGAUGUAACGGGGCUAAACCAUGCACCGAAGCUGCGGCAGCGACACAAAGUGUUGUUGGGUAGGGGAGCGUUCUGUAAGCCUGCGAAGGUGUACUGUGAGGUAUGCUGGAGGUAUCAGAAGUGCGAAUGCUGACAUAAGUAACGAUAAUGCGGGUGAAAAACCCGCACGCCGGAAGACCAAGGGUUCCUGUCCAACGUUAAUCGGGGCAGGGUGAGUCGACCCCUAAGGCGAGGCUGAAAAGCGUAGUCGAUGGGAAACGGGUUAAUAUUCCCGUACUGGUGGUAACUGCGAUGGGGGAACGGAGAAGGCUAGGUUGUCCGGGCGACGGUCGUCCCGGUUCAAGCAGGUAGGCAGAGUGAUUAGGCAAAUCCGGUCACUUAAUGCUGAGAUGUGAUGACGAACCACCAAGGUGGUGAAGCAAUUGAUGCCCCGCUUCCAGGAAAAGCCUCUAAGCUUCAGGUUACCAACAAUCGUACCCCAAACCGACACAGGUGGUCAGGUAGAGAAUACUCAGGCGCUUGAGAGAACUCGGGUGAAGGAACUAGGCAAAAUGGUGCCGUAACUUCGGGAGAAGGCACGCUGGCGGUAGGUAAAGUCCCUCGCGGACGGCGCUGAAGCCAGUCGAAGAUACCAGCUGGCUGCAACUGUUUAUUAAAAACACAGCACUGUGCAAACACGAAAGUGGACGUAUACGGUGUGACGCCUGCCCGGUGCUGGAAGGUUAAUUGAUGGGGUUAGCCGUAAGGCGAAGCUCCUGAUCGAAGCCCCAGUAAACGGCGGCCGUAACUAUAACGGUCCUAAGGUAGCGAAAUUCCUUGUCGGGUAAGUUCCGACCUGCACGAAUGGCGUAAUGAUGGCCAGGCUGUCUCCACCCGAGACUCAGUGAAAUUGAACUCGCUGUGAAGAUGCAGUGUACCCGCGGCAAGACGGAAAGACCCCGUGAACCUUUACUAUAGCUUGACACUGAACAUUGAGCCUUGAUGUGUAGGAUAGGUGGGAGGCUUUGAAGUGUGGACGCCAGUCUGCAUGGAGCCAACCUUGAAAUACCACCCUUUAACGUUUGAUGUUCUAACCUAGGCCCAUAAACUGGGUCGGGGACCGUGUCUGGUGGGUAGUUUGACUGGGGCGGUCUCCUCCUAAAGAGUAACGGAGGAGCACGAAGGUUGGCUAAGCAUGGUCGGACAUCAUGCGGUUAGUGCAAAGGCAUAAGCCAGCUUGACUGCGAGAGUGACGGCUCGAGCAGGUACGAAAGUAGGUCUUAGUGAUCCGGUGGUUCUGAAUGGAAGGGCCAUCGCUCAACGGAUAAAAGGUACUCCGGGGAUAACAGGCUGAUACCGCCCAAGAGUUCAUAUCGACGGCGGUGUUUGGCACCUCGAUGUCGGCUCAUCACAUCCUGGGGCUGAAGUAGGUCCCAAGGGUAUGGCUGUUCGCCAUUUAAAGUGGUACGCGAGCUGGGUUUAGAACGUCGUGAGACAGUUCGGUCCCUAUCUGCCGUGGGCGUUGGAAGAUUGAGAGGGGUUGCUCCUAGUACGAGAGGACCGGAGUGAACGCACCACUGGUGUUCGGGUUGUCAUGCCAAUGGCAUUGCCCGGUAGCUAAGUGCGGAAGAGAUAACCGCUGAAAGCAUCUAAGCGGGAAACUUGCCUCGAGAUGAGUCUUCCCUGUCGCUUUAAGCGACCUAAAGGAACGUUUAAGACUAAGACGUUGAUAGGCUGGGUGUGUAAGCGUAGCGAUACGUUGAGCUAACCAGUACUAAUGAACCGUGAGGCUUAACCUGACAACACCGAAAGUGUUUUG